CACACCGCCCGUCACGCCAUGGGAGUUGGGUUUACCCGAAGACGGUGCGCUAACCAGCAAUGGAGGCAGCCGGCCACGGUAGGCUCAGCGACUGGGGUG
rnacentral:rRNA from 1 species